CAACGGUUAACCGUUGCCAAUUAAAAAAAAAAAAACCCGUAUAUAUACAUGAUUUCCUUUCUGCGCUCUCUUUCUCUUCUCCUUCCCCUAUUCCCCCUGUUUCUCUGAAUCUCCCUAACCUCUUUGAAUCUCUUUCUCUUCUCCUUCCCCUUCUGUUUCUCCUUCCCGUUUCUCCUUCCCCUUCUGUUUCUCCUUCCCGUUUCUCCUUCCCCUUCUGUUUCUCCUUCCCCUUAUUUCUCGUCUUUCUCGCCUUUUUGGGGUAAUUCAGAUCCGUAUUUUUUUGGGGUACGAAUUGCGGAAAGGAGGAGGCGAAAUACGAGGCAAGAGGUUAAGUUAAGUUAUUUUUUGUCUUUAAUAUUUCAUUCGGUUAUUAGAUUUUGUCAAAUAAUUUUACAGUUUUUUUGGUCAAAAUUGGGAAAAAUCGAACAAAAAAACCCUAAAUUUCGAAUUUGGGAGUUUUCAAUUCGGUCCAUUAUUCUUGAAAUUGUUUGUUCCAUGUUGUUAUGCUAUGUUUAAGGAGUGUUUUGCAACAAAUUUCAUGAAAAAUGGUUAAGUAUUAAACCUUGUAUGAGCAUGUCUUUGUUCGAGUUCGUUCUUUGUAUAAAGGUAAGAAAUUUGUUUUACUAGAGUCCUUUCAACUCUGAUUGAUGGAUGGAAUACGAAUACUCGAAAUAUAGCUCGUUUCGUGGUGUUGAGUUGGGGGUGAUAAUGUGAAUGUAAAUCAUGGUUAUUGGGUCUUAGAGUACCCCUAAUUGGUUUAGGAAAAAGCUGUGGAUUGUCAAGAUAAGUGAGAAAUGUGUGUUGCUGAAUUUGCUAUCAACUACGGUUGAAUGUUAUCAGCUGGUUUUGUUGAUGUGAAAUUCCUCUUGAUAUCUUAUCAUUUACACUCUUUAAUUAUUGCGUUUAAGGUGGUUAUGGGACGUGGAGCUGUCCACUGCGCUAAUUUAUGCAUCCAUAUGCACAAAGAAAGAGACACAUUUAUUAGAAUUAGACGCGUAACCAUAUUGUAGCUUAUGCACUGUUUCCCUGAUGGUGGAUUUUAAGAACAAGGCUCUAGAUGCUUUGUUUAUGUUAGAUUAAAAACAAAUCAGGAUCAUGCAGCAGACAAACUAAAUACGGAGGAUGGUGACGCCUUUAUUGAUUCUUUUUAUUUAAAUGCAAGCAGUAAGUUCAACACUAUGUUCAUUUAAUCUAGUUUCAGAAACAUAAUGUUGCACUUAUUUGGAUUUGGAUCUUUUACAUUAAACUCAAUUUUAUACUGUGAAUUUAAUAAUAGCUCUCUUGUUAUAUCCUGCAUACAUCCAAGAUUCAUGACUUGCAAUAGGAAAAGUUAGGUUUUGGGGCUUGAAAACUCUCUGAUGCUAAACAAAUAAUUCUGUGAGAUAUUGGGAGAAAGGGAAGAUAAAAUGACAUGAAGGUUACACAAGUUAUCUUUAUAAUCUUUCCAUUGUUAUCCUCGAGAUCAACUAGGAGUUUCUCCAAGUAGUUAUAUGACUCGGGUUGGAUCUGGUUAAAGGGCAAACAAAAAUGGGUCUGAUUGCAGUUAUUUCUGACAAACCUUGUGAAUAUUAGUUAAAUUGCUUAAUCUCAUUUUUCUUUUCAGGUUCUGAGUCCCUGGCUGAUAAAUGGUGAACAUUGAAUUUAAGUGUCGUUACUCUUGUUGGUAUCCACUUACUGCUUAAAAAACAGUGGAGGAAGAAAUUGAGGAUGGCGAUGAAUUCAGACCAUUUAAUUCAAACUAGAGGUUAACUUCUUCUGAUAUUUUGAUGGAAAGUAUGUAUCUUCAUUUAAAAUAACUAUUAUCCCUUUUUGCUUAUAUUACCAGGUUAGAUAGAUUAUACUAUUAAUACUAUACAUUACAAAAUCAAGCUUCUGAUGUUGCUACAAUACAUUGAUCCGAUGGUAAAUAUUAUUAUGAGAAUUUAAAUCUACUGGUGAACUGCAUAAGAGAGCUGAUAAAAAGCUACGGGUACAAAGGAUAAUGAUGUAGACGAGUUUCGAGCUCGUAUACCACGACGGCUUAAUGACUACUAGUUGAGCCGCUGACAUAUACACAUGCCUUUAUUUUAUCUGUUGGGAGAAGCAUUUGGUUCUGAUAUGAUCUUUCAAAAAUGUAGGGUUUGCUUUAAAUGUUGAAACAAGUUCAGAACUUUUAUGUUGCUUUGUUAUGCUUGCUGGUCUUUAUACUUGUUUAUGAAACUUAGAAUUGGAAAAUAGUUAAGAGCACAAACAUGAUGUGUGAGGUGUGACGACAACAAAGUUGAUACUUUCUCCAGUUAUUAAUUCAGCCUUUUACUUAGAACUUUUAAGAAGAUCUUGAAAAUUAUUUAAAGAUUAAUUGGGGUUGUGGUGGUUGAUUUUGCAAUAUAGUGAGUCCCUUUUUCGUGGUCUGAUUUUGCAAUAUAGAGUCCCUAAGAUCUCAAUGAUUUAAUUUGAGAGAUCAUUCUUGUUACUAAAUCUAAAUGAUGAAGGGACUUAGCUGAUUUUGAAAUGGCAUGUUUGAUUUGCUAACAUUAUUGAGGUAACAAACAGGAUUUCAUUUCUUGUGAUCAAAUUACAAUCUCUCUGAUGGAUUUAAGAUGUCACUCAUGAUUGGUUCAAUGUGUACACAAACCUCAAGCCUUCAAAAAUAUGAGCUUUGUCCUUUGCCAUCCGGUUCUCCAUGGUUGACUGAUUUCCUUUAAAUUUUUAUUUUUAUUUUUGCUGUGUAUGGGUUAUGUUGCUGAGGUGGUGAAAUGGGGAGGAUGGUAUAAGCUAUUCUAUAACAUUUGUAUGUGGAGUAUUUUGACAAAUUUUCGGGAUUUCUUUCCGGUUUGCUGCUAUCACUGUUGUUGCUGUUACUGCUAUCCCUGCUGCUGCUGUCCCUGCUUGUUGUCGCUGCUUUUCUUUGCAUGCUGAUGCUGUCUGCCUGCUGCUGCUGCUGAUUCUGGAGGUUUCUGCCCAUGCUGCUGUUAUUCUUUCUUUUUUUUUUUCUGGCUUGUUGCUGUUUGUAACCUCCAAGUUUGGAGGGGUUUGUAUUUUUUUCACGUAGCGUAUUUAUUUGUGUAUGAGGACACGGUGCGGCUGUACUUUAUGAGGGCUUGCCCUUUUUUCUUUUAGUAAUAAUAUCCCUUUCUUACCUACCAAAAAAAAAA